GCGGGCGUGGCGGAAUUGGCAGACGCGCUAGACUUAGGAUCUAGUGGGUUUUCUCCUGUGAGAGUUCGAGUCUCUCCGCCCGCACCA
rnacentral:tRNA from 1 species